GACGAGCGCUGGCGGCGUGCUUAACACAUGCAAGUCGAACGGAAAGGCCCUGCUUUUGUGGGGUGCUCGAGUGGCGAACGGGUGAGUAACACGUGAGUAACCUGCCCUUGACUUUGGGAUAACUUCAGGAAACUGGGGCUAAUACCGGAUAGGAGCUCCUGCUGCAUGGUGGGGGUUGGAAAGUUUCGGCGGUUGGGGAUGGACUCGCGGCUUAUCAGCUUGUUGGUGGGGUAGUGGCUUACCAAGGCUUUGACGGGUAGCCGGCCUGAGAGGGUGACCGGCCACAUUGGGACUGAGAUACGGCCCAGACUCCUACGGGAGGCAGCAGUGGGGAAUAUUGCACAAUGGGCGGAAGCCUGAUGCAGCAACGCCGCGUGCGGGAUGACGGCCUUCGGGUUGUAAACCGCUUUCGCCUGUGACGAAGCGUGAGUGACGGUAAUGGGUAAAGAAGCACCGGCUAACUAUGUG
rnacentral:rRNA from 1 species